GAACUACGGGUUCGUUUCGAUGAAUAAAUAGUUUCAAAUAACUAGAGUUCAAUUCCUAGCAGGGAAAUGUAUGAUUACACAAGUAACAAUGUAUUGUUUCUGUGUUCUAUAGUUAUUUAUCCACUUGAAAUGGUAGUUUUCUUAGAAAGGGAAAAAACCUGGGGUAAAUUUCAUUUUUGCAUUGGAAAUUUUGCUGCUAUUAACCUAAAAAGGUGGGAUGGGAAGUCCUAAAAUGGUAAGAUUACAAGAGAAGAUUUUUCUUUUUUGUUAACCUGUCUUGGAGUUUGACAAGCCUAAUAUGUUAACAGGACAUAAAUACAAUUUCUUGUAGCAGUUCAAACUACGAAGUAACACAAAGUUGGAUUAUUUUGCACUUGGCUUUAUCUUUGUUGAAGUUAUUGUUAGAGAAACUUCAUUAAGAAUUGAC
rnacentral:lncRNA from 1 species